CUUUGAUUGCUGAUUUUACGCUUUCUGGACCAAUUGUGGGCCACUAUAGGCGUGGUUCUGACAGCUCCGGCCAGACUCCUGGAGGGGGGGUGGGGGGUGGGGGGUGGAAGGUGUCGGAAGCAUUAGCAGUAAGAAAACAUGUCAACAGAAUAAAAUAUUAACCAAUGACAGAAAAGAUCGGGAAAUCCCACCCCCAUCUCCGCGCCAGGCAGCGGGUCAGCCCUCACUUGUUGGCGGGUGGAGACGUCACCUCUGUCGGCGUGCGCUCUUACAGCGUCCCCUCCGGAGGAUCCAAGUUUGCACAGACGGACCGAGUCCCCAGCAGGACAGGUCUCCGCGGCCGUGAACGCGCCGCUCUACGGACGUGUUUGUUCGCGCAGUGCGUCACAGCACGUUUAAACCGGUUUGACGCUGGAUUUGCGCUUGUUUUAACGCACUCAUCUGCAUCUUUUCCUCCCGGCCCACGUGGAAAAAGUGGAAGCUACGCGCUGGGAAAUCUGGAGAUAAAAUUGACGGGUUCGGAUCUCGGCAAACAACAGACCAAGCGAAGAACAUGUCGGGCAGAUUGAACAUCCAUCACAAAGACAACAGACAGAAGGACAAGAACCCACAUCUACCAUCGCUUCAGAGUCGACGAUGAGGGCAACAAGCAGUUGGUGUUUAUGGCUUGAUGGGCGUUCCCGGGGUGUGGCCAGCUUGUGGUUACUUGGUGUAUUGUCGUAUAAUAUUUAAAGAUAGAUUAUAAAGAACGUGCAAAAACGUGACGUGGUCACUGAGGUUUUUCUUUGUCCAUGACUGGUGGAGGGAACCAAAGUUCAACUGAUUUAUUUCAGCAAAAUGUGUUUCACGGUGACGCUCCUGUAUUACUAGUUAGCAUGCUAAUAUCUGGUUAAUGGUAAGAUGUCCUGUGGAUCACCUCAAAGGUAUCAUCUGCUUACAAAAAUAGGGAUUUUACAUUUAAAGUGUUUGUUUUACUGUUAUGACCCAGCAGACAAGAAGCAGUUACAAAGGUAAUCCAUGGUAAUGUCAUACAGAAUGUUAGAAGUCUCUGGGGGUCCCUGUCACAACGGUAAAGAGGUAUGUUGAUCUUGAACCCUGCCGUCGGAAGGAGUCGGGGUGGAGCCCACCCAGGCAUCAAACAGGGACUGACUGGGGAGGUGAUGGUUAAGGUGUUAAAGCGGUGGGUUUGAGACCAGAGGAUCCUCCAUUCAAAUCCCUGUUAGACCGGAAAAUCACUCAGAGCCAUUGGCCGAGUUCUUUAAUCCUCAUGUUGCUCCCUAUGUUUAGUGAGUAACGGUAUGUGAGUGGGACUGGCUGAAUGUGAGGCAUCACUGUAAAAUGCUUUGACCAUAAAAGCACCACAUAAAUGCAGUGCAUUUUCUCUUGGUGACAGUGGGGAAGAGGAGGCAGAAUUUCAGUGACUGCAAGCAGCAGAGACCUGAGUUAGAACUGAGAUUUUUAAAUAACAUCUGUUUCCUAUUGGUCAUGAGUUGACGACAAAAAAGGGGACCAGCUGCUUCCUGUUAAGUGAAUCUGAAUGAAAGCUUCUGGCAGAACUUAUGCGCCGUUACAUUCUUGCUAAUUUUUAGAAAAUGUAAGAAGGAAAAAAAUGUUAAACAUUUUAUAGUUUACAUUUUAUAUUAUACCGACAUACAGCUUUCUGGGAGCGUACGCUGCCUUGCUGGAUUAUUUUGUCAGGUGAGUAACAAACGUGCGUCACGCUGCCUUCACUUGGAUUGAUGGUCACCGUGUCGCGUCGCUCACCAUUUCUAUAAAAUAGCCUGGUGGUGGUGUAGUGUCCACUUGUCUGUUGUUGCCGAAAAUUAAAUGCAGGUUGUUGCUCCACCUCUGUUUCAUCACUAAUGUGACCCCCCCCCCCCCCAAAAAAACCCCCACACAUGCACAAAAAGGUCUGAACUGAAGAGAACCAGGAAGUAAAGCUCCACAGAAUGGUUUAACUGCUGGUCGCACUAACACGGGUCUGAAGCUGGAUUCUUCUGACCCGGGGUGAAACGUGGGACUGUUGAAGGAGCUGGUCUCCGAGUUCUGGGUUUGCAGAAAUUCAUCUUUUCAACACACUCAAAGUAAAAACGGCAGUCAGCAGGCUGGAGCGGUUCUACCUGUGUACGUAAGCAAAGAUUUCCCCGUGGCUGGAAAAGAGAUCCGUGUGUGCAGCCCUUUGAAAUGUCCAAACCAAACAUGCCUUGAUGUCCUGUGACACGCGUGUCGGACCUGUGCGGAUAGUUCCGGACAGGACGGCUGGUCUCAGCUGAAAGAGGCUGCUGGUGUCUUUUGAGGAGACGGUUGGUCCACACAGUGUCAGGAGGCUGUCUGUCAGCAUCACAUCCUCAGGACGUGCAUUACGUCAUGCCCAAACAGAGACACACGGAUAUCAGUGGACACAACGCUGACUCUGAGUCAACCCCAAAACCCCAUUAU